CAUGCAACAUGCUUUCUAAUCUUUUUUUGGGGCUUCUCUUCCUAAUAAAUAAUCAGCAUUUAUCAAAUCUAGCUAAUGGGCACUAGUCUAUACAUUUUUUUUCCUUCCAAUUCAGAACUAUUCUCGUACUAUACAUAUUAUAUACAACCAAGUAGUGCAGCUGAAUUAUGCAAUGCAUCGCUGAUAUAACUUGAUGAAGACCUUAG
rnacentral:misc_RNA from 1 species